rnacentral:rRNA from 1 species
GCUUACGGCCAUACCAACCUGGCUAUGCCCGAUCUCGUCUGAUCUCGGAAGCUAAGCAGGUUUGGGCCUGGUUAGUACUUGGAUGGGAGACCGCCUGAGAAUACCAGGUGCUGUAAGCU